GACGAACGCUGGCGGCGUGCUUAACACAUGCAAGUCGAACGGAAAGGCCCGGCGUUUGUGGGGUGCUCGAGUGGCGAACGGGUGAGUAACACGUGAGUAACCUGCCCUUGACUGUGGGAUAACUUCAGGAAACUGGGGCGAAUACCGGAGAGGAUCUCCUGCUGCAUGGGGGGGGUUGGAAAGUUUCGGCGGUUGUGGAUGGACUCGCGGCUUAUCAGCUUGUUGGGGGGGUAGUGGCUUACCAAGGGUUUGACGGGUAGCCGGCCUGAGAGGGUGACCGGCCACAUUGGGCCUGAGAUACGGACCAGAAUCCUACGGGCGGCAGCAGUCGGGAAUAUUGCACAAUGGGCCGACGCCUGAUACAGAAACGCCGCGUGCGGGAUGCCGGCUUUCGGGUUAUAAACCGCUUUCGACUGUGACGAAGCGUGAGUGACGGUAAUGGGUAAAGAAGCACCGGCUAACUACGUG
rnacentral:rRNA from 1 species